CCCCGAUGGGGUGUGGGAAGCCCAGGGAUGAAAGGUACCAGGUCCCUGGCUGCCUCCUAACCCGGUGGCUGAGAAGGCGUGCUUGCAAGCAACCAAUGGAGCGGCCGGGCCCAUCGGGGAGUCUCUUCUCAGCUAACACUGCCUCCUUUCAGGUAGGAGAGCUUGCUUACCUCGGGCAAGUGGCCUGCCUCUCUAAGCUUCCAUUUCUUUCUUUUGUGUAAUGUAUGUAAAUAUCUCUCGGGGCCCAAGGCCAUCAUCAGUGACAGCCCCAGGGGAAAACCUUGUUAUCCAUAAACCUUGUUCUACAGGCUUGGGGUGAUCAGGCCCCCCCCCCCCCCGUGGACCUCAGUUCCACCUUUUAACCCAGCUGGGGGCUCCACAGAAGCCCCCGCCCACUGCGGUCGUCGGGAGACUUGAGGAAGAGGGGAGGGUCUCCAGAGCAUAACUGACGGCAGCCAUGGGUGGUGCAGAGGCCCCUCAAGGGUCUUCCUGUGCUCCAGGCACUGUGGAUGUGAUCCAUGACAGGAUUUCACCUGAUUCGCCUCAGGACUGCUCUGUAAGGAAGGGUUGUCCACUGCAAUAAUGAUAGUAAUAAUGGUAACGCUCAGCUCAUCUAGUGCUUACCAUCUGCUGGGCUCUGUGCCCAUGUUGUCUCCAUUUUCUAGAUCUGGAAGGUGUGGUUCCAAGCAGUUAAGGACUUAGCCCGUUAAGGAUUUCUAACCUCUGUUCCCAUGUGGAGCACUUGCUCUGUGCUCCCGGCCCAGCACCCCCUCAUUGUCCCUUAUCCCAGCCCUCUGAGGUGUGACACCCAUUUUACAGAUGAGAAAAUGGGGUUCCGAGAAGGGAGGAGACUGGCCCAGGACAGCCCCCACCUUCCAGCCCUGCCCCGGAGAACCCUGGCUAGGGCUUCAGAAGUCCAAGGGAGAUCAAAUUUCAUGUCCUGACAGGCACUAGACAAGUUGCCUGGCCUCAUCAAGCCUCAGUUUCCUCUUCUGCUUAAUGGGCACACAACAAGUCAGGAUGUCCCUGCCUCUCAGGGUGGGAGUCUGAAUUCUAGGCCAGAACGGCCAGGGCUGCUAUCAGUCAGCAUCCCCUGGGGCUACACACCAGGCCAGGCCACUCUUACCCAGACCCUCCCGACCGAUGGAACCUUUUGCCCGGCAGCAGAGGAGGGGUAGCCCCAGAUGCCAGGGUUUGAGAGCAGUAGCUCCUGAGAGAUCAUCUAGGCCCCCUUCCCUUAGAGGCCAAGGACCCUAGGGAGGAGACAUGACUUGCCCAGGGUCACAUGGUGUGGGUGGGGAGAGAGAACUGAGGGCAGCUCCCCGGGGCUGUGGGGUAUUGACAUUUCACAUGGCAUCUCGAGGCAGUAGGGCCUCCUUCUAAAGUAAGAGUCAGCUCAAGGCUAGAGCCCCAUUAAUCAAAUGACCAGGUCACCUCACAGAACACAGGGCAGGUGGGGGGCAGGGUCCAAGGGUGGCCUAGCGCUGGAUCUGGGGCCUGGCAUUACAGACCCCUGUGAAUGACUAAGCUACUUUCCCUAUUAGCCCUUUGUUGCCUCCCCUGAGAAAUGGGUCCAUGCAUAAAGAUCUCUGCACAGUGCUGAUGUCUAGAAAGAAUUCAUGUUAACUAUUAUUUAAGGAAAUCAAGUCACAGGAGCUCCUGGCUGGCUCGGUCAGGAGAGCAUGCGACUCUUGAUCUCAGAGUCAUGAGUUUGAGCCCCAUGUAGAGUUUACUUAAAGUUAAAAAAAAAAAAAAAAAAAGCCAGGAUUCCCAAGCUUGAUCAGAGAGUCUAAGCAGUAGCCUCUGGGGGUGCCUGGUUGGCUCAGCGACUCUUGAUCUCGGGAUGGUGAGUUUGAGCCCCACGUGGGGUGUAGAGAUUACUUUAAAUUUCAAAAAUAAAUAAAAUUGAAAAAACAAAUCAGCAGCAGCUGGAAUCAAAUGGCGCUGGGACUGGGCUGAAUCCUUGUUUCGCUACUUGCAGCUGGUGAGCUUCGCAGGUGAUUCUGCACUUCCGGUCCUCAGUUCCUCACCUGUCAAAUGGGCUCGGCACAGCACCCGCCAAGGAGGAGAGUCUUAAAUCUCACACCCCAGGGAGCAGGUGCUGAAGACAAUCGCGGUUGCAGAGAUAACCAGUUGAAAAAAAAAAAAUUCCACACACUUUUUCCCACUCUGAAAAUCGCUAAAACAGCUGCCGUCAGGUCUGAGCAGGGAAGGCCUCAGCCAGCUCAAAGAGCACCCAGGCCCCUGGGGAGGAGGCCAGACUGAAACCAGUCUCUCUGUGGCCCGGCACACCGCAUGGCCUCGCAGCACACACCUGGUGCUCUCGGAAGGCCCCUCUUGGCCACGAGUGGGGACCCCAGGAAUAUCUCAAGAACAUCUGUAAAGCCAUGCCCGGUCCCAGGUCAGUUCUGGCCCCUUACUGGGCCUCAGUGUCCCCAGCUGCUGGACAAAAGGGCAGAUGGCGAGCAGAAUGCGGCAAGAAGGUGACAUUUGAGCAGAAACCUGGGAUGAUGGAGAGUGGGUUGUGGGAACUUUCGGAGGAAGAACGUUCUAGGCAGAGGGAACCACCAGUGCAAAGGCCCUGAGGCUUUGUCCUGCGUUUUCUGUGUGACCUUCGGCUGGCUGAGUAACCAGUCUGUGCCUCAGUUUCCCAUCUGUAUAAUGAGAAUCAUCACAGUGCUCGAAAAGCUGUUGUGAGGGUCACAGGAAUACCUUUAACGCUAAGGGCUCACUGGACAUGGACCUUUGCAGAGGUGGGUGUGAGCCUGGUGUAUCUGCGGACCACAGAGAAGGCCAGCAGGGCUGGGGGCUGCAGGUGAUGGUAAGAGAUGGGUAGUUCAAAAGCUUGGAUUUCAUCCUAAAUGCAAUGGGAAGCCACUGGAUGGGUUUAAGCAGAAGAGAGACGAGAUCUGAUUUUCUUUCUUCUUCGUUUUUUUUGAUGUUUAUUUUUGACAGAGAGAGAGAGAGACAGAGCAUGAGCGGGGGGAGGGGCAAAGAGAGAGGGAGACACAGAAUCGGAAGCAGGGCUCCAGGUUCCGAGGUGUCAGCACAGAGCCCGAUGCGGGGCUCGAACUCACAGACCGCGAGAUCAUGACCUGAGCCGAAGUCGGAUGCUCAACCGACUGAGCCACCCAGGCGCCCUUGAUUUUCUUUAAAAAUGACAGGAUGCAGGGCUCCUGGGUGGCUUAGUCGGUGAAGCAUCCGACUCGAUUUCAGCUCAGGUCGUGAUCUCAUGGUUUGUGAAUUCGAGCCCUGUGUCAGGCUCCGUGCCGACAGUGCAGAGCCUGCUUGGGGCACCCCCCCACCUCUCUC
rnacentral:lncRNA from 1 species